UACAGUAAUUGGUGCUAAGUCGAUGUGAUUGUGAUCAUUGAUUCUAUGAAAUCUACCAUUACUAAGACGUCAAAGUCUUACUGGACAUCGCUGACGUCUAUUGACAUGGGCGCAUACAAAUCGUUGGUCCGCAUCAACUUGAAAUCGUGGAUUCCCCCUGAAUAGAUGGUUCUCAUAUCUCAGAUAUGACGUUUCCAUAGCAGCUUAUUAGUUAUACAAUAAAUUUCAGUGAAAUGGAGGCUGCUGGACAAUGUGAGAGAUCUCAUCGCCUCGUUCAUAAUGGCUUUACCUACCACUUAGACUCAAGAUAUGCUAAUAAAGUUCGCAAAAGAUACGUUUGCUCAUCUCGGAUCACCCUCAAUCACUGUAGAGUUAAACUAUGGAUAAAUGCAAACGGCAGGAUGGAGGUAGAUGGUGACCAUAAUCACAGACAACCAGACAUUCAACAACGAGAGCCUGUGAUUCGAGAAUUGCAGACUCAAGCUUCACAAACUGAUUUAUAGCCGAAUGUAAUAUUUAACAAUGUUAUCAGACAAAUGCCGAAUGCCGGUAAUUUUAUUAGAGCUGAAGCUGGGAGGCAAAUCAUCCACCGCCAACGACGUCUACAACGACCUCCGCUUCUACAUACUUUCCGCGAAUUAGGACCAAUGCUAUUAGGCUAUCAACGGAUUGCAUCAAUUUAUCGGGCCGAAAUCACUGCAGACGAUGGAUCAAUAGCGUAUGUUUUUGGAAGCAAUUAUAUGCUACAGAGACUCGGUGAAGUCAGCGAAUGGCACAUAGAUGGAACUUUUCAAUGUGUACCUGAACGACCUCGAGCAGCACAACUUCUUAUUAUUCACACCCGCCGAAUGGACGUGGGGAUCCCAGCUUUGUACAUUUUGUGCAACCGCCGAACAUUACAAAUGUACACUGCUAUAUUCCGGUGGAUCUUACAACAAGUUCCAGCAAUCACUCAAAACCUUCAAACAGUUGUUUCGGAUUUCGAGGUGGCUAUUCUCAAUUCCCUGCAAACUUGCAUGCCAUGGGUUAGGCGGAGAGGUUGUUGGUUCCAUUUUGCUCGAGUACGUUGGUGGUAUCAUCAGUGUAUAAUUAAAAUCUAAUAAAAAUAUAUCGUGACAGAUGCCAUAUAGGCGUGUACCUACGAAACAUACCACAGAAAAGCCACAAGGGCGUAUAAAAAAAUUUGAUUUCUUUACUAUUAUACUUUCAAAACAUAAUUACGACAUAAUUGCGAGUCCGGAAAAAAAAUGUAUACACUCUUAUAGGCUCUGUAACGCAACAAAAUAAAUUAAAUCAUUUAAGGCUGUGACUAGGAAAUGGAACUCUCUACAGCUUGCUCCCCGCGAUGCACCAGAGCAUCGUAUACUACAAUACACCUGGGUGCUUCCAUUGGUUCCCGCUGAUAGAUUUGACGAAGCACUGGAAGUCAUAUCAAUAUUAUUGAGACCAUUGGAAGCUGCAAACGACAAUUAUUGUCUGUUCCAUCGUUAUCUUGAAAGAUUUUGGUCGCCUUUAGCAGCGAUUAUCUCUGUAUUCAAUACCCCAUUGAGAACAAACAACAUUGCAGAGGCUUUAAAUUUGCAAUUGCUUUCAAAACUUGGACCACAUCCUUCUUUUUUGAAAUUUUUACAUGAGUGACCUUUUUUUUAUUAUUAUUUUUUCUUUUUUUUUCCCUUUUUUCAGAUUUUUUCUUUUUUUUUGCAUUAAAUUGUUAUUUAUAGAUUGUCUCAUUCAAAUUAUAACGGAUGAUCUUGUUCAGUGGGAACGCUUAAAUAACGGGAUGGAUCUUGGCAGCAACAGACGCCGUAGACAGUAUCACAUGGAUGUCUUUAUUCAACGAAUUCAACAAUCUUUAGAAAGUAGGAGGUCAGAUUUU